GAGUAUGCUUGGGAACAUGCCUUGAGGUGGGGGACAACAGUUGGAAACGACUGCUAAUACCGCAUAAUGUCUACGGACCAAAGGGGGCUUCGGCUCUCGCCUUUAGAUUGGCCCAAGUGGGAUUAGCUAGUUGGUGAGGUAAUGGCUCACCAAGGCGACGAUCCCUAGCUGGUUUGAGAGGAUGAUCAGCCACACUGGGACUGAGACACGGCCCAGACUCCUACGGGAGGCAGCAGUGGGGAAUAUUGCACAAUGGGCGCAAGCCUGAUGCAGCCAUGCCGCGUGUGUGAAGAAGGCCUUCGGGUUGUAAAGCACUUUCAGUCAGGAGGAAAGGUUAGUAGUUAAUACCUGCUAGCUGUGACGUUACUGACAGAAGAAGCACCGGCUAACUCCGUGCCAGCAGCCGCGGUAAUACGGAGGGUGCGAGCGUUAAUCGGAAUUACUGGGCGUAAAGCGUACGCAGGCGGUUUGUUAAGC
rnacentral:rRNA from 1 species